AUUCGCAGCUGCCGCCGCCAGUGCCGGUGAGAAGAGUAGGGAGGCGCAGCGCGGGGAUGGACGGCGGCCUCGACGACGAGUGGGAAGCUAGCUUCCUCGACGAGGUGAUACGCGCGACGGAUGAGGCUGAGGCUGUCGUCUCCCGCAACCCUAACCCCACUCCCACCCCCGCGCCCGCUCCCAUCCCCACGUAUUAUCCCUUGGCCGCCGCCCCCGUCUCCUACCUCCCAGCCUCUUCGGUCUCCUACAUCCCUGCCGCUUCGCACCUCCGCUCCGCGAUCAGCUUCUCCCCUCCACGGGACCUCUCCCAGAGGCCGCCGCUCCCGCCGCCGACCGCUGCCACCAGCACCAGGGAUGCGCUGGCGACGGGGGCCGACGUCGGUCGCGACUUCUCUCCUCCGCCCCAGCUCUCCCAGCGCCCGGCGGCUGAUGAGGGCAGCCUCGUGGCCUUCGCGGCGUCGAGCUCAGCCAGCGACCGCCGCUUCAUUAGCACGGGCUGUGGAGAAGCGGGCGCGAAGAGGGAAGCGAGGGAGAUCGAGAGGCUCAAAAGAGAGCUGGACCGUGUCUCCAAGGAAAGGAAUGAAUUGGUGCGUACCUUGUGUUAUCAUUCGUGGCAGUAUUAUGUAUUUCUGUGGAUCCUUAGAACUGUACAUUUUUACCAAUCUUGUUUGAAUCUAAAUUGAGAUGAGGUCUGAUCUACUACUACUAAAACUGGUGCUGCUGACCAACUCUUUCUUUUACUGAAAAAUGAAUGCACCGCGCUGAAAAAGGACAGAACAAAGAAAGAUCUUCAAAUCAAAGCUAAAGAAGCGGAGAUUCAAAAUCUGAAAAAAGCUAAUGUCUCCAUGAAAGAUGUUUGCAGUGCAGGGAUGAACAUUGAUCAGUCCUUUCACGCCCCUGCAAAUGAGGCUUUGCAUACUGGGGUUUCUUCUAGGCGAACAGACAAGAUGAGUGGCAAAGAUAAGGAUGCCCAUUCAUUGCGAGACGAUCUCUAUCUAAAGCAAGGGCAUCAAACUGAUUUACUUGAGGCUUUAGAACUGAGGCGUCGCACCAUGAUUGAUAACGGAAUGAGUACAUCUGGAGUAGUGUCUCUGGAGGAGGACACCCAUUUUGAACCAAGAAACGCUACAUGCAAGGAAAUUAAGGCGAUAGGAGUCCAGACAGAUAACACAUCUGACAAUGAACAUCUUGACUGCAAGAAAUUAUUGGUUGAGCGUAUAUCUGGUAACCUACGUGCAAUGUGGGGCAUGUCACCUAACAGUUUAUCAAGCAGGAAUUUGAUAUCAAAGAUCAAUGUUUCUUGUUCAGAAGAAAUUUUGUCACUUCUCCAGCAUACGAGAUUGUCAGACAACUGUGAACCCUCUUCUCAAGCAAUCUCCUCCAUGAAUGAAGCUAUUUCCCAACUGUAUGACACGUUCAUUAAGAUGAAUAGUGGGAAGAUGUCAAUACAAACUUUCCUUGAAGCAUUGCUAAAUCUAUGUGCUUUUGAUGAUGCUGCUAUAGUCAGUAGAACUUUGAGGGUAUUCCUCAAAGUUUUACAGCACUUACUGCAACAUGGAGCCAAGUCUAGUGAAAGUGUACCCUCAGGAACAAUGUUUCUGUUGAACCAUAUGUUAACGUACUCAUGGAGAACAACCACAAAGACUGUUCGACCUUGUUGAGACCAGUGGAUGCAGAAGAUUCAUUGAGACUGCAUAAUAUGUUUCUUCCUUUUACUUUCUGGAGUUCACUUUUCACUGGCAUGCUUCAAAUUGGGGUCAAGUACUCACAAGAGACAAUUCGUACUGAUGCAUUAUCCAUAAUGAUUCUCAUUGUAAGGACAACAGAUCCCAUAGAGGAACGCCAGAAAUUCGGAUUUACUUCAGUAAUGACGAGAUUGCAUCUGCUAUUGCAGAAAGAGAACGGAUUGCUUGUUAAGAAGCAUUCUGUGCGUCUACUUUUCUUGCUUCUGAAUUGCCCAGUGAUGUUGAAGUUGCUGUGUAGUGGAGGCAAAGACGGCUCCAAACAGAUGGGAUCGGAAGCUUGUGAAAGUAAUAGAUCACAAGAAGUCAUAAGCUCAGUUCUUGUGGAUUUAUCUGAUUGUUUGACAUGUGGGGAAACUUGUUCUCUGGGGAUUGAGCUUUGCAGGCUCGUCAUCAUUCUGCUAGCUUAUAUAGCUUCCAGUGGCAAAUUGGGAUAUGAGGUGCUUUUAGUUCCAGUGAGUGCCCGUGGUGCCAGUUUUUUGGAGAUGAUAAUGGAAGUCCUUGCAUCGCAGAUGCAAUAUGAAACACGAGAGUUACUAAAAGAAAGAUGUUUGGUGAUGAGAGAAGCUCUUAUCCUGCUAAACCGGCUGGCAUCACACGCAAACUAUUCGAAACCAACCUUGGAAGUGCUGACGAGAAGCAAGUUAUGCGCGACCUGGACGAUCGAUGUUGCGAACCGGCUGCCCCAUACGUGGAUGGCAAAUGAUCUCGCGGAGCUGGCCCAGAAAUUCAGGUCGCGAGUGUAUGCUUUCAUAGAGGAGAAACCCUUGACAAGCGACGGUACCAAUCUGGGCGCUUCUAAUAAGAGAUGAGAUACCCAGGACUGGCGCAGCCUGAGGUAGCUUGGGUAGUAAUAUGGAAAGCAUAUUGCUAGCGGCUCGACAAGUUUAGUUUCUUUUUUUUCCCUUACUGACACUAGGGUUUUGUUUAGGAGUUAGACUGGCUUGGCUGGGGCGAGUCGCUAGCUUUUGCUGGCGGUGUACAGAGGCGAAUGCUUCCUCGCCAUUUUUGAGGGGGAGGGAGAAUGUAGUUGUACUACGGCAAGUCCUUGGGAACGUACAUCAUAAUUGUUGUUUGGACAUCAUCUCAUGGCUUUGGCAUUGACCAUCGCAGCUUUUUUGAAUUGAAAGUUUUAGUUUUUUUCUUACCAGGAUGAUCUGACUGUAAGCAAUUGAGGAUAUUGGAUGGGUUUGUUGGUUGUGAA